rnacentral:rRNA from 1 species
GAUAAACGCUGGCGGCGUGCAUAACACAUGCAAGUCGAACGAUGAAGCUUAACUGAUUUCUUCGGAAUGAUUUUAAGUGGAUUAGUGGCGGACGGGUGAGUAACGCGUGAGUAACCUGCCUUGCACAAGGGGAUAGCCGUUGGAAACGACGAAUAAUACCCUAUGAUAUAAACUUUUCGCAUGAAGAGCUUAUCAAAGAUUUAUCGGUGUAAGAUGGACUCGCGUCUGAUUAGCUAGUUGGUGGGGUAACAGCCUACCAAGGCAACGAUCAGUAGCCGGCUUGAGAGAGUGUACGGCCACAUUGGGACUGAGACACGGCCCAGACUCCUACGGGAGGCAGCAGUGGGGAAUUUUGCACAAUGGGGGAAACCCUGAUGCAGCGACGCCGCGUGAUUUAGAAGGCCUUCGGGUUGUAAAAAUCUUUUGUAUGGGAAGAAAAUGACAGUACCAUACGAAUAAGGACCGGCUAAUUACGUGCCAGCCGCCGCCGUAACAC